rnacentral:miRNA from 1 species
CCAGCUAUGACCUCCAGCCUCCCUGAGGGAUCCUGUACUGAGCUGCCCCGAGGUUCUUUCUUGUGCCCAGCUCGGGGCAGCUCAGUACAGGAUGCAUCGGGGUGGGCGUCAACUGGAGGAAGC